rnacentral:rRNA from 1 species
UACGAAGGGGGCUAGCGUUGCUCGGAAUCACUGGGCGUAAAGCGCACGUAGGCGGCUUUCUAAGUCAGGGGUGAAAUCCUGGAGCUCAACUCCAGAACUGCCUUUGAUACUGGAGAGCUCGAGUCCGGAAGAGGUGAGUGGAACUCCGAGUGUAGAGGUGAAAUUCGUAGAUAUUCGCAAGAACACCAGUGGCGAAGGCGGCUCACUGGCCCGAUACUGACGCUGAGGCACGAAAGCGUGGGGAGCAAACAGGG